UCAAACUUGGUCAUUUAGAGGAAGUAAAAGUCGUAACAAGGUUUCCGUAGGUGAACCUGCGGAAGGAUCAUUAUUGAAUAAAGUUGGUUAGGUUGUUUGCUGGCUUCUAUAAGAGCAUGUGCACACCUCAUCCAUUUUUUUCAACCCCCUUGUGCACCUUGCGUAGGUCUUGAACAACCCUCGAGCAAUGUGACUGCUCGGUUUCAAGAAUUGCUGAGAGAUGAUCCAGCUUCUCUUGUGUUUCAGAUCUAUGUGCUUUGUCCAUAUACACCACAAUAGAAUGUAUCCGAACGUUUGUCGGUUGGGCCUUUGUGCUCUUUAAACAAUGUACAACUUUCAACAACGGAUCUCUUGGCUCUCGCAUCGAUGAAGAACGCAGC
rnacentral:misc_RNA from 1 species